CCCGCUGGAAGAGGCACCGGCAGCCGGACCACAGCCGAAAGAAAGAAAUGCAACUUGAGCUGGUCGAAAAUGGCCCAUCAGCAGGACCAUCACUGGACCAGCAACAUAAAGCCAUGUCUUCAGGACAAGGGGGAACGUUUAAAAUUAGGGAGGCCCUCGAGAAAACACCGGAGAGUAGAGAGAUAAUGUGCAGUCUUGACACCAAACGGUGCAUCUCGCUCAAGCAGAGGAGGUCUAUGGUUAGAAUCCUAGUGUCACAUCUCAUGGAGCGGUUCGGAGAGACUCCAGCAUUGGAAACAAGGAAAACCUGGCCUCAUCUUUAGUGACGGAAUUUCCGUAUCUAAGGGAUCAGCAUGGGAACGGCAAUGAGGCGUGGUAUAGUCCAGGUCGAACUCACAGACCAGCAACUGGCUUCGUUGAAGAGCGUUUAAGAAAUGUACGGAAGAGGCUCCGUAGUGGAAAGUGCAGACCUAGCCCUGUGGAGAACCCUGUAACUAAUUGGUAUUGCCAGAGACUGAAAUAUCUGAUGAGAGGGCAGUGGCGAUGACGGAGUGGUUAAGAAAUAACAUCCGACCCCUUAACCAAGUAGAAGAAUACAUGAAGCAGACAGCCAUCCACAGAGCUAAGUGGAUAAGGGAGCAUGGGUCAAAGACAGUG